rfam:Stegodyphus mimosarum contig125855, whole genome shotgun sequence.
GCCUUCGUGGUGUAGUGGUCUGCACGCUCGAGGCAUAACCGAGAGGUCCGUGGUUCGAUUCCCGGUGAAGGCG